AUAUCAUUAAGAGGAGGAAAAGAAACUAACUAGGAUGCCUUUAGUAGCGGCGAGUGAAGUAGGCAAAGCUCAAUCUGAAAAUCAGCAGGGAGUAACAUUCCUUGCCGAAUUGUAGUUUGGUGGAAGAGUAUUUACUGGCUGGUGUGGGAUGAAGUGUAAGUCCCUUGGAAUAGGGCGCCAGAGAGGGUGACAGCCCCGUUCAUCACUUCGUCUUCUGACUGUCUAUUUAUUGCUCUUUCUCAGAGUCGGGUUGUUCGAGAAUACAGCCUUAAUCGACACACCGGGUGGUAGAUUUCAUCUAAAGCUAAAUAUGGGCGAGAGACCGAUAGCGAACAAGUACCGUGAGG
rnacentral:rRNA from 1 species